rnacentral:misc_RNA from 1 species
AAGUCGUAACAAGGUUUCCGUAGGUGAACCUGCGGAAGGAUCAUUAACAAAUCAUGUUCGCGGCCCUCGGGCCCGCACAUACACCCUUAGGCCGUGGUGCUUCGGCACCGGGUCUUUGGUUCGGCGCCGCAGUCCGCUGUGGAUGCCAACAUAGACGCUUGUAUGUUUGACAGUAUUAGUUGACACUUUAAAAUGACAACUUUUAACAAUGGAUCUCUUGGCUCUU